CACACGACUCUCGGCAACGGAUAUCUCGGCUCUCGCAUCGCAUCGAUGAAGAACGUAGCGAAAUGCGAUACCUGGUGUGAAUUGCAGAAUCCCGCGAACCAUCGAGUCUUUGAACGCAAGUUGCGCCCGAGGCCACUCGGCCGAGGGCACGCCUGCCUGGGCGUCACGC
rnacentral:rRNA from 1 species